GACGAAGGGGGCUAGCGUUGCUCGGAAUUACUGGGCGUAAAGCGCGUGUAGGCGGCUGUUCGAGUUGGGCGUGAAAGCCUUGGGCUUAACCCAAGAAAUGCGCUCAAUACUGGAUAGCUAGAGGACCGGAGAGGAUAGUGGAAUUCCCAGUGUAGUGGUGAAAUACGUAGAGAUUGGGAAGAACACCAGUGGCGAAGGCGGCUAUCUGGACGGUUUCUGACGCUAAGACGCGAAAGCGUGGGGAGCAAACAGG
rnacentral:rRNA from 1 species